rnacentral:tmRNA from 1 species
GGGGACGUUACGGAUUCGACAGGGGUAGUUCGAGCUUGGACUGCGAGUCGGAGGGUCGCGUCUCCGCAUCAACGCAAACGCCUAAAUAUAACUGGCAAAAACGAAUUAGCUUUAGCUGCCUAAUUUAGCGCAGCUGCUCCUCCCGCUAUCGUCCAUGUAGUCGGGUAAGGGGCCCAAAUUUAGUGGACUACGCCGGAGUUCUCCGCCUGGGGACGAAGGAAGAGACUAAUCAGGCUAGCUGUCCGGACGCCAGUCGAUAGGCAUAAGGAACAGCGAAACUAAAAUAUAUCGACUACGCUCGUAGACGUUCAAGUGCCGUUAUCCUUGGACGUGGGUUCGAUUCCCACCGUCUCCACCA